ACUGUCUCAGGUGGAAGACGGCAAUACCAGUUUAGAGCUCCGCCAGAGAGGGUGGAGGGGAAGAGAAGACAUCGUUCUUCGUCGGUGUGCAUCCGAUAUGCCAUGGUGGACUCAAAGAGGUUAAGGUGUUCAAUUGGAUCCUCCCUUCCAGUAUAGAGUUGUAAACCACGCCUUUGUUUUGUCUUCGCUUGAAGGGGGUGUUGAGGAUCCUUCUUGUGAGAGGGCUAGGCCUGGGUU
rnacentral:lncRNA from 1 species